rnacentral:tRNA from 1 species
GCGCCGGUGGUGUAAGGCGAACAUCGCUGCCCGGAAAGCAGAAGAUGCGGGUUCGGGUCCCGCCUGGCGAA